rnacentral:lncRNA from 1 species
AACCACUCCUGACACCAACUUCUAUAUAAGCUGAGCACAGGAUGAGGCUGCCUGCCCAGAUAGCUGUCCCUUCUGACUUAGGAUCUCUUUGGCUGUACAUUGAAGGAUGAAGAAGUGUGUAGCUGUUUUACCUAUGACUGGAUUCCCAGAUCCUAGCUCAGCUGCGGACACACCAUGGGCACUCACUUCAUGUUGUUAGGUGAUGGAACAUGUCUUGUGGGGACAGGACUAAGGGUGAGACACCUGCCCCAGGUGCAAAGGUUAAAGGGGCACCAAAAAUUCUCAGUGAUCAAAAUAAGUCAUCAUUUCAUGCAAUAUGUAUAUAUUUUUUGAGGCAGAGUCGUGCUCUGUCACCCAAGCUGGAGUGCAGUAGCGUGAUCUCAGCUCACUGCAACCUUCGCCUCCUGGGUUCAAGUGAUUCUUGUGCUUCAGCUGCCUGCGUAGCUGGGACCACAGGCACAUGCCACCACACCUGGCUAAUUUUUGUAUUUUUAGGACAGACAGGGUUUUGCCAUGUUGGCCAGGCUGGUCUCAAACUCCUGACCUCAAUGAUCUGCCUGCUUCAGCCCCCUGAAGUGCUGGAAUUACAGGCGUGAGCCACCACGCUCAGCCUCAUGCAGUAUUUUAAGAAAUCAAAAUUAAUGCAAACAAGUUCACCACGAGCCAGUCCGGGAGUGGUGGCUCAUGCCUGUAAUCCCAGCACUUUGGGAGGCCGAGGUGGGCAGAUACUUGAGGUCAGGAAUUUGAGACCAGUCUGGCCAACAUGGUGAAACCCCGUCUCUACUAAAAACACAAAAAUUAGCCAGACAUGGUGGCGGGCGCUUGUAAUCCCAGCUACUUGAGAGGCUGAGGCAGGAGAAUCGCUUGAACCUGGGAGGCGGAGGUUGUAGUGAGCUAAGAUUGCACCACUGCACUCAAGCCUGGGUGAGCGAGACUCCAACUCAAAAAAAAAAAAAAAAAAAAAAAAAAGAAAGAAAGAAAAAAAAUUUACCAUGAGCCAAAAUUUCAAAAUUUCACUUCAAGACAGGAGUUGAAACGAGCACUUACACAAUGCCUCGCUCGCCUCACUCUAAUCUUGGCUUUGUCAGAUCCUGUCUUGUUUUAAAAUGUUGUGCUCCGGGUGUGUGCCUGGCUUGCCUCACCGCAGCCCGGGCCCUGCUGACCCAGCUCCAUGUUCACUGUCCUUUCUUCUUCCUUCUGUGGCCUUGGUUUUGGGUCCUCACUCUCUUUUGACCCAACCAUUGAGAAACUCCUCUGGGGUUCCUUCUCCUCACCCCGGACUAUCCCACCAUGAGCCACGUCACUCUCUGCUGCCCCCUUAGGCUUCUUGACACAGAGUAGUCAAGCCACUCCCUUGCUCAUAACCUUCUAUGACUUCUGACCCCAGGCGAGGCUCACACUCACCAACAAGGCAUGCAGAACCCUCUGUGGUCAGCCCAGGGAGGCUUCUUCCUCCCAAGCCUCCCCGCCUGUCACCUGCCCUCCUCCUCCAUAUCCAGGCCGUGCCUUUCUCCACAUCUGUACUUCACUGACUAUCUUCAAAGUCAACCUCAAA